rnacentral:rRNA from 1 species
UGGUGGCCUCAGGUCAUCCGAGUUGUAAUCUAUAGAAGUGUUUUCCGUGCUGGCUCAUGUACAAGUCCCUUGGAACAGGGCGUCAUAGAGGGUGAGAAUCCCGUCCUUGACAUGAACUACCAGUGCUCUGUGAUACAUUUUCAACGAGUCGAGUUGUUUGGGAAUGCAGCUCAAAAUGGGUGGUAAAUUCCAUCUAAAGCUAAAUAUUGGCGAGAGACCGAUAGCGAACAAGUACCGUGAGGGAAAGAUGAAAAGCACUUUGGAAAGAGAGUUAAACAGUAUGUGAAAUUGUUGAAAGGGAAACGAUUGAAGUCAGUCGUGCUCUUUGGAUUCAGCCGGUUCUGCCGGUGUACUUCCUUUGAGUGGGGUCAACAUCAGUUUUGAUCGCUGGAUAAAGGCUGGAGGAACGUAGUACCCUCGGGUAAACUUAUAGCCUCCUGUCACAUACAGUGGUUGGGACUGAGGAACGCAGCACGCCUUUAUGGCCGGGAUUCGUCCACGUACGUGCUUAGGAUGUUGACAUAAUGGCUUUAAACGACCCGUCU